rnacentral:rRNA from 1 species
UACGAAGGGGGCUAGCGUUGUUCGGAAUUACUGGGCGUAAAGCGCGCGCAGGCGGCUAUCCAAGUCAGUGGUGAAAGCCCGGAGCUCAACUCCGGAACUGCCAUUGAAACUGUUUAGCUUGAGGAUGAGAGAGGUGAGUGGAAUUCCCAGUGUAGAGGUGAAAUUCGUAGAUAUUGGGAAAGAACACCGGUGGCGAAGGCGGCCUGCUGGGCUAUGGCUGACACUGAGGCGCGACAGCGUGGGGAGCAAACAGG